GACGAACGCUGGCGGCGUGCUUAACACAUGCAAGUCGAACGGAAAGGCCCUGCUUUUGUGGGGUGCUCGAGUGGCGAACGGGUGAGUAACACGUGAGUAACCUGCCCUUGACUUUGGGAUAACUUCAGGAAACUGGGGCUAAUAACGGAUAGGAGCUCCUGCUGCAUGGUGGGGGUUGGAAAGUUUCGGCGGUUGGGGAUGGACUCGCGGCUUAUCAGCUUGUUGGUGGGGUAGUGGCUUACCAAGGCUUUGACGGGUAGCCGGCCUGAGAGGGUGACCGGCCACAUUGGGACUGAGAUACGGCCCAGACUCCUACGGGAGGCAGCAGUGGGGAAUAUUGCACAAUGGGCGGAAGCCUGAUGCAGCAACGCCGCGUGCGGGAUGACGGCCUUCGGGUUGUAAACCGCUUUCGCCUGUGACGAAGCGUGAGUGACGGUAAUGGGUGAAGAAGCACCGGCUAACUACGUG
rnacentral:rRNA from 1 species